rnacentral:lncRNA from 1 species
CAGCCACCCGAGAUGUUGUACAUAUUUCCGCGCUCUCUGUCACCGAUGCAUUUGUGCAAGUGGCAUAUAUAUACCCAUUUGGCUUUCCACAAGCUACUCUAGCUGCAUGAUGGAUGGACCCAGGAAACCAUGUUGAAAGUACCAACUCUUUUUGUUUAUCAGGGGCAUUAUGAAUUUUCGCACAUUCUUGUGUCUUUGCUGGCUGGCUAUGAGCUAUGCUGUAGCAAGCCUUACCAUAUGGUAUGUUUUUCGCUUUUAGUUUUAUAUCCUGGUUAGAUUUGUUAGUGGCUCAGUGCUGUAGUUGUUGGUGAUAUUAUUUGCUGAAGCAUUGUUAUUUUGGUAGUUGCUCAAGCAUUGUUAUUUUUUGCCAGGUUUGUUAUUCAGUAAAAUCGGCAGCGGACCGCUGGAUCCCAACCUCACAUAGGAAGCUAUCAUGUUAAAUGUGUGAUGGCUACACAUUAGUUUGCUGGUUGCCUGGCCCUACCAUUUCUGGUAUGUCCAGUUUAUUGUUUGUUUAUUGUUGCCGUAACUAACACUUGAGUGCACCUUCUCUGUUUCAUCAGUCAUACCUUAUUGUAGAGGCGUGUGUUUGCCUGAUUUUAAAUGUUGAUCACGUGUUUCAGCUCUCAACAUGUUAUAUCGUAGUGAAAAAGAAAAGAAAGAAAGUGUGUUGUAAAAACAAAUAAAAUUGUAAGUAUUUAUUAUGAAUCUUACACCACUCACCCUUCUGUUAACACCUGCGUCCUGUAACUCUAUAAGCAGAAUAGAAUUACAGUGCCGUACGCAGAUCAGAUCGUACAAAAAUCAUCACACGUGUAGCAGAACCCCAAGCAGAAUCAAGUAGGAGCUUAUUUGGUUAUUGUUUCACAUUUGUUAAUCUGGUGCCUGCGACACACAUCUAAUCUAAGUAGGAUGAAUUUACUGAUGAGCCGCUAAUCAUGGUGUCAGGUGUGCUGGUGUGGAUUGGCAGUUGAGCCAUGUCCAAGAACAUCUGAAGACAGUACAGUAAUCAAAUCAGUCGGUGACAAUCUGUGACGAAAACUGGAGGCUGAAGUCGAAGGUGGGGUGGACUGUUAUACGAACUGCAGCCUAGCAAAUACGAGUAUGUUCGAACUCUGAACUCCAUGGAGUUUCAUGGCAUUAAUUCAAGAGCAAAUUAAUGAAGAUCAAUAGCGAGUGAAGUUGUAUUGGCAGUUUGGCACGCCAUCAUUAAUUUGCAAACGCACCGUCUCGUUUUGCUUCCUCCAUCACCUGAUCGGCUCACGACCUCCAUCUCCUCCUCUGCUGCCUCCAGGCAGCAGCAGAUCGAUCGUCGAGAGCCUCCUCACUUAUCAGCAGCAGAUCGAUCGUCGAGAGCCUCCUCACCGAACAAAGCUCGAUCAAGGGAGGCCUGGACGCCCGAAAGCUGGCCAGGCUCGACGGCAGGGAGGCUCGAUUGGUCACGAGGUGAGGACGGUUGAGGUCGCUGAGCUGAAACUGCAGGCAUGUACAGCCCUCCCAUUUACUGUUUGAAGGGACGUACUCUUCUAGGAGUAGUGCUGAAGAACACCUAGUAGAAUGCUACGUACCCUUGCGGGUGGGAAGGCGAUGCUAUUGCUAGGUGCGUCGGACUGUAGCGGGCAAUGAAGUGUUGUGGCCUGUGCAUAAACAUCAUGCCACCAUGAUAAAUUCUCUCACACUAUUACUAUCUGAUUCAUAAGGACAUCGUUUGCAUUGUUUGUUCAUCAGUUUUUUUAAUUCAAACAGGGCACUUGAAUGUUUGAAGUCAUCGGCACUUGGAAUCUUCGGCCAACCAGGGCUAACUGAUUAGUGACGACUGAUGAGAUGACCGCACAUUUUGCUUGCUUGAUGGCAGGCGCUACCACUUCAGGUACGCUCUGUUCAUUGCUUUGUUUAUCAUCACCUCAACACAAUGCCGGUGCACAGUUCUUGAUUCAUUUUGCGUACCUUAUCCUACAUUCAUGUAUUGUAUAUGUUUUUUCUAGCUUCCGACCAAAUUAUAUCAUAGUGAAAGACCGUACAUAUUUCAAAAUUUCUGAAGCAUGAAACAUGCAUCUAACCUAAGUAGGAUGAAUUUGCUAACCUCUGAAUCACUGUGAUGGUGUCAGGUGUGGUGUCAAUCGGGCCAUGUCCAAGAAAAGCUGAGGACGGUAACGAUGUCCGACGAAAAGUUUAGGCUGAAGUGCAACAUUAGCCUGGGCAGGGUCGCUGACAAUCACCUGUGUCACAUCCUACUGAGGACCAGACUUGUAUAUCGAAGAAACCACAAAUCUAGUACAGAGAUAAGCUCUGUUCAUUGCCUUGUUUAUCAUCACAAAUAUGGAAAGUUGGAAUCUUCGGUCAACCAGGGCU